rnacentral:rRNA from 1 species
CCCCAGUAACGGCGAGUGAAGCGGCAACAGCUCAAAUUUGAAAUCUGCUCCGGGCCGAGUUGUAAUUUGUAGAGGAUGCUUUUGGUGCGGCGCCAGCUGAGUUCCCUGGAACGGGACGCCACAGAGGGUGAGAGCCCCGUCACGCUGGACGCCAAGCCUAUGUAAAGCUCCUUCGACGAGUCGAGUAGUUUGGGAAUGCUGCUCAAAUUGGGAGGUAUAUGUCUUCUAAAGCUAAAUACCGGCCAGAGACCGAUAGCGCACAAGUAGAGUGAUCGAAAGAUGAAAAGCACUUUGAAAAGAGAGUUAAACAGUACGUGAAAUUGUUGAAAGGGAAGCGCUCAUGACCAGACUUGGGCUUGGCGAAUCAUCCAGCGUUCUCGCCGGUGCACUUCGCCUCGCCCAGGCCAGCAUCAGUUCGUCGCGGGGGACAAAAGCGCCGGGAACGUGGCUCCCCCGGGAGUGUUAUAGCCCGGCGCACAAUACCCUGCGGUGGACUGAGGUUCGCGCAUCUGCAAGGAUGCUGGCGUAAUGGUCAUCAGCGACCCGUCUUGAAACACGG